rnacentral:rRNA from 1 species
GUGAGAAUCCCGUAUGCGACCGGCGACCAACCCCAUGUGAAACUCCUUCGACGAGUCGAGUUGUUUGGGAAUGCAGCUCAAAAUGGGUGGUAUAUUUCAUCUAAAGCUAAAUACCGGCCAGAGACCGAUAGCGCACAAGUAGAGUGAUCGAAAGAUGAAAAGCACUUUGGAAAGAGAGUCAAACAGUACGUGAAAUUGUUGAAAGGGAAGCGCUCGCAACCAGACCUGCCCGCGGCCGAUCAACCGUCCUUCUGGGCGGUGCACUCGGGCGCGAUCAGGCCAGCAUCGGUUCGGGCGGCCGGACAAAGGCCCUGGGAACGUAGCUCCUCUCGGGGAGUGUUAUAGCCCUCGGUGCAAUGCGGCCAGCCUGGACCGAGGACCGCGCUUCGGCUAGGAUGCUGGCGUAAUGGUUGUGAGCGGCCCGUCUUGAAACACGGACCAAGGAGUCUAACAUCUAUGCGAGUGUUUGGGUGUCAAACCCAUGCGCGUAAUGAAAGUGAACGGAGGUGGGAACCCAUUCGGGCGCACCAUCGACCGAUCCAGAUGUCUUCGGAUGGAUUUGAGUACGAGCAUAGCUGUUGGGACCCGAAAGAUGGUGAACUAUGCCUGAAUAGGGUGAAGCCAGAGGAAACUCUGGUGGAGGCUCGCAGCGGUUCUGACGUGCAAAUCGAUCGUCGAAUUUGGGUAUAGGGGCGAAAGUACGUAUUCAACCUCAUGUUCAUCGAAAUAAAAUGCUAAUAUUUUCUUUUAGGACUAAUCGAACCAUU